CUUAUUGGCUGGAAAGGAAGAAGCAUUCUUUCAUUGGUUGGUGUGUAUUGCCUUGUCAACCAAUAAGAGGAUGCCAUUUAUCCUUUUCUGACUAGCUGAGUGAGCAGGGUA
rnacentral:pre_miRNA from 3 species